rfam:Silicibacter sp. TM1040, complete genome.
GGUCACCUGAACCCGGCGCGGAUGCGCCAAGGCAGGGGGCUUUAACAUAGCUGGGCCAAAGAUAAUAACCUAAGGCUCGGCACGCUAAACGGAAGACAGAAA